rnacentral:lncRNA from 1 species
AUUCAAUCUUUCUUCUUCUCAAAUAAUACCAAUCACAUUUCUAUUCCAUAAUUUACUUCACAAUAUUCAGAAACUCUCAAUCCUCUUAUUCAAAGAAAAUAACAAACAAAAGAAAAGAAGUAGCACCAAGCUUACCCCGGCUCACAACUAUCAUAGCGAUGGCACCUUAAUUAACUUCUACAACUCCUAUAUACUUUCUCCUGAUUCUCAAGAUUCUAAUUGUAAUUUUAUAAUUAACUACUUUUAAUAACUAAAUCACUCAUCCAUCCUCCUGAAUUUUCUAUUAUAUAGACUAUUAAUAUUUUUUAC